CCUACGGGACGCAGCAGUGGGGAAUAUUGCACAAUGGGCGAAAGCCUGAUGCAGCAACGCCGCGUGAAGGAAGAAGGUCUUCGGAUCGUAAACUUCUGUCCUUGGGGAAGAUAAUGACGGUACCCUUGGAGGAAGCCCCGGCUAACUACGUGCCAGCAGCCGCGGUAAUACGGAGGAUGCGAGCGUUAUCCGGAUUUAUUGGGUUUAAAGGGUGCGCAGGCGGUCUGUUAAGUCAGCGGUCAAAGCCCGGGGCUCAACCCCGGCCCGCCGUUGAAACUGGCAGUCUCGAGUUGGAGAGAAGGAUG
rnacentral:rRNA from 1 species